CGGCGGACGGGUGAGUAACGCGUGGGUAACCUGCCUCAUACAGGGGGAUAGCAGUUGGAAACGGCUGCUAAUACCGCAUAAGCGCACAGUACCGCAUGGUACCGUGUGAAAAACUCCGGUGGUAUGAGAUGGACCCGCGUCUGAUUAGCUAGUUGGUGGGGUAACGGCCUACCAAGGCGACGAUCAGUAGCCGACCUGAGAGGGUGACCGGCCACAUUGGGACUGAGACACGGCCCAA
rnacentral:rRNA from 1 species